UGUUUACAUACGCUGGUCAUAUAUUUCCGGUUUGAAUCACAUGAUGCGUUUUAUCGUCUCUUAGCCAAUCAGCAUAACAUCCAGAUUCUGGAUGUUGAACAUGGCUUUUGAGGCGAAUUGUGUCAGCUUGUAGAACCAAACACUAUUUAAUUGCUAUUUAAUUCCUAUUUUAUUGGGCUAUUUAAUUCCUAUUUGUCAAAGUAUUUAUUUCCUAUUUUUACUAUUAUUUUUU